GAGGGUAUAGCUCAAGUGGUAGAGCACAUGCUUAGCAUACACAAGGUCCUGGGUUCAAUCCCCAGUAACUCCU
rfam:Camelus ferus unplaced genomic scaffold scaffold105, whole genome shotgun sequence.